UACGUAGGGGGCAAGCGUUGUCCGGAUUUAUUGGGCGUAAAGAGCUCGUAGGCGGCUUGUCGCGUCGAAUGUGAAAACCCACAGCUCAACUGUGGGCUUGCAUUCGAUACGGGCAGGCUCGAGUUCGGUAGGGGAGACUGGAAUUCCUGGUGUAGCGGUGAAAUGCGCAGAUAUCAGGAAGAACACCCGUGGCGAAAGCGGCUCUCUGGAACGGUACUGACGCUGAGACGCGAAAGCGUGGGGAGCGAACAGG
rnacentral:rRNA from 1 species